rnacentral:lncRNA from 1 species
GCUAGCAAUACUCAACUAAGUCAUCAUAUUAUGAAUGAUAAUUCCAAUAGUAGAUGAGCACAAGGCCUUUGGGCCUCCAAUGAUCAUUAUACUAUUGGACCCAUUAUCAUCCAACUUAAUAGGAGGCUAUGACUUAGUUAUCACCAUAACUAUCUCAUUUUAGGGGAUCUAAUAAUUUAGAAGAUUUAAUGAUGAAUUAAAAGAAGAGAAGAGAAG